rnacentral:rRNA from 1 species
CAAUAGCGUAUAUUAAAGUUGUUGCAGUUAAAAAGCUCGUAGUUGGAUUUCUGGAUGGAGCGACCGGUCGGGCAUUAAUUUGUCUGCACUGGAGUCGGUUCCGUCCAUCCUCUUGGAAAGUGCGUCGGGCAUUAAGUUGUUUGGCGUAUGAUCCAAGUCGUUUACUGUGAAAAAAUUAGAGUGUUUAAAGCAGGCCUUCGCCUUGGAUACAUUAGCAUGGAAUAAUAAGAUAGGACUUUGGUCUAUUUUGUUGGUUUGCAGACCGAAGUAAUGAUUAAUAGGGAUAGUUGGGGGUAUUUAUAUUCCGAUGUCAGAGGUGAAAUUCUUAGAUUUUCGGAAGAUAAACUUAUGCGAAAGCAUUUACCAAGGAUGUUUUCAUUAA